AGAGAGAGACAUGCGCGCAUAUCAAUAAGCGGAGGAAAAGAAACUAACAAGGAUUCCCCUAGUAACGGCGAGUGAAGCGGGAAGAGCUCAAAUUUGAAAUCUUCAAGGUUUUAUCUUGACGAAUUGUAGUUUAAAGAAGUGUUUUCGGUUAGAGGAGUAGUAAAAGUUCUUUGGAAUAGGACAUCAUAGAGGGUGAGAAUCCCGUAUUUGACUAUUCUUUCUAGCUUUGUGAUACACUUUCAAAGAGUCGGAUUGUUUGGGAAUGCAGUCCAAGAUGGGUGGUAAAUUUCAUCUAAAGCUAAAUAUUGGCGAGAGACCGAUAGCGAACAAGUACCGUGAGGGAAAGAUGAAAAGAACUUUGAAAAGAGAGUUAAACAGUACGUGAAAUUGUCAAAAGGGAAGCGUUUGACACCAGUGUUGUUUUUCCGAAAAUCAAUUACGAAUGUUUUAUUUUUGAGGAGUUAUGACUUCAUCGGCUUGCUCCUUUCUUUAUGGAACUUUCUUAAUGCACUUUUCGGUUAACAAGUCAACAUCAAUCUCCUUUGUUGUAAAAGAGUAUGAGGAAGGUGGCUUUCUAUUCGGAGAAAGUGUUUAUAGCCUUGUGCCUCUGCAAUCGGAGAGAUUGAGGUCUGCAGCGUAGAUCCUUCGGGGUUAGAUACGUUUGUGCUAAGUUAUAGCUUUUCAUAGACAACUUGUUGACUAUGUUUAGUCUUGUAGCUUACUCGCUGACGCUAUUUUACCUACGCUUAGGAUGUUGACAGCAGUAUAGACUGU
rnacentral:rRNA from 1 species